rnacentral:rRNA from 1 species
UACAGAGGUCUCAAGCGUUGUUCGGAUUCAUUGGGCGUAAAGGGUGCGUAGGUGGCGCGCUAAGUCAGGUGUGAAAUUUCGGAGCUUAACUCCGAAACUGCAUUUGAUACUGGCGUGCUUGAGGACUGGAGAGGAGACUGGAAUUCACGGUGUAGAGGUGAAAUUCGUAGAUAUCGUAAGGAAGACCAGUGGCGAAGGCGGGUCUCUGGACAGUUCCUGACGCUGAGGCACGAAGGCCAGGGGAGCAAACGGG